CCAUCUCAGAGCUCAGGCUCAAGGGCAGGGGACACAGAUCUCCUUGCUCAGGAGAAGUCCUAAAAGAUUCAGGGACCAUGUUCAUAAAUGGCCACAGUCAGAUCUCUGGCCACCAGAAAUUUGUAUUUCUCUCAUCACAAGACUCACCCCCACUUCUUGUGCCUUGUCGACACUCUACCACUGCUGGCAUCACACAGCUUUAAUUAAUUGUCCACAUGUCCUCUUACCCUCUGAACUUCUUUCAGGAUAGAUGGGGCAUCUUAGUCCUCUUUGGAUCCUCUGUGGAUGAUAUGUUUAUUACUCAGCAUUUAAUACAUACCCAGUAAGGGCCAAACCACCAUAAAUGACAGUCUAGACCCAUACAGUAAAUCCUUUUUUUGGAGGGGGGGCGCACUCACAGCAUAUAGAGGUUCCCAGGCUAGGGCUCCAAUCAGAGGUACAACUGCCAGCCUACACCACAGCCACAGCAUGUCAUAUCCAAGCUGCGUCUUUGACCUACACCAAAGCUCAUAGCAAUGCCAGAUCCUUAAUCCACUGAGCAAGGCCAGGGAUCAAACCUGGAACCUCAUGGUUCCUAGUCAGAUUUGUUUCUGCUGCACCAGGACAGGAACUCCCCCAUACAGUAAAUGGAUUAUAAUCAACAUAAAAUUACAAAAGGAGACUGUCAGGAGUUCCCAUCGUGGCUCAGCGGAAACGAAUCUGACUAGGAACCAUGAGGAUGCAGGUUCGAUCCCUGGCCUUGCUCAGUGGGGUAAAGAUCCGGUGUUGCCCUGAGCUGUGGUGUAGGUCGCAGACACGGCUCAGAUCUGGUGUGGCUGUAGUGUAGGCCAACAGCUAUAGCUCUGAUUCGACCUCUAGCCUGGGAACCUCCACAUGUCACAGGUGCGGCCCUUAAAAAAAAAAAGAAAGAAAAGGAGACUAUCAGCUUAUUGUUGGUUUAAAUACAUAUUUCUCAAACAGAUAUUUCCUUCUUUUCAAUUCAUUAUGAUCAUCUUGAACAUUAAAAAUAUAUCUGAAAAAAUUUGGAAGCAGAAAUGGCACCAGCAGAAGGCUGCUUCUCAGUCUUACUAGGUGAGCAAAUAAUUGGAUUACUAUUCACUGUUUUGUCUGACCCGGUCAUGUUUCAUCUACCUUUGCCUUGCUUUUUUGUGGAGCUGGGCCAGGCUGAGAGCCGGAGUCAGAAAGGCCUGCCUGGUGUGCCCUUCCACACCAGGAGACAGGUAACUAGCUGGCUCCCCUCUCCCUCUUUCUCUCUCAUCACUACUUUGAUCUGGAGUUUCCGUCUUGGUGCAGCAGAAAUGAACCAGACUAGAAUACAUGAGGUUUUGGGUCUGAUCCCUGGCCUCGCUCAGUGGGUUAAAGAUCUGGCUUUGCUGUGAGCUGUGGUAUAGUUUGCAGAUGUGGCUCAAAUCUGGUGUUGCUGUGGCUGUGGUGUGGCUGGCAGCUGCAGCUCUGACUGGACUCCUAGCCUGGGAAUUUACAUAUGCCGCAGGUCCAGCCCUAAAAACAAAAAAACCCCCCAAAAACAAAAAUUAUGACACCAUGUGGAAAAUUUUAAUGAUGCUUGGGGAUUUGACGGUAUAAAGGAAAUUUUGCUAACUUUGCUGCAUGUAUUAAGCGUCAUUGCUAUCUUUUAGUGAUAUAGUCUGAGGCAUUUAUGGAUGAAAUUAUAAGCUAUCUGGCACUCCUUUUCAAAUAAUUGGGUGCAGGUUCAGGAGUGAUGAGUGAGUGGCGUAUAGAUUUUUUGGCUGUGUGUAGAUAAUCAUCAAAGCUGAUGAUGGGUAUGUGGGGGAUUAUCACAUUUCUUUUUCCACAUUUUUCUACCUUUCUACCUAUUCAAAUAUAUUUGAAUAUUUCCAUGAUAAAAAUUAUACUUAAAAAAAGAAAAAAGGGAGUUCCCGUCUUGGUUCAGUGGUUAACAAAUCUGACUAGGAGUGAUGAGGUUGCAGAUUCGAUCCCUGGCCUUGCUCAGUGGGUUAAGGAUUCAGUGUUGCCGUGAGCUGUGGUGUAGGUCGCAGAUGUGGCUUGGAUCCCGAUUUGCUGUGUCUCUGGCGUAGGCUGGCAGCUAUAGCUCUGAUUAGAUCCCUAGCCUGGGAACCUCCAUAUGCCUCAGGAGAGGCCCCAGAAAAGGCAAAAAGACAAAAAGAAAAAGAAAAAGAAAAAGAAAAAAG
rnacentral:lncRNA from 1 species